rnacentral:hammerhead_ribozyme from 1 species
AUCCAGCUGACGAGUCCCAAAUAGGACGAAACAUGCAUCAAACUGGAU